CCUACGGGAGGCAGCAGUGGGGAAUAUUGGGCAAUGGACGCAAGUCUGACCCAGCAACGCCGCGUGAAGGAUGAAGGCUUUCGGGUUGUAAACUUCUUUUAAGGGGGAAGAGCAGAAGACGGUACCCCGUGAAUAAGCCACGGCUAACUACGCGCCAGCAGCCGCGGUAAUACGUAGGGUGCAAGUGUUGCCCGGAUUUACUGGGUGUAAAGGGCGUACAGCCGGAGAGAAAAGUCAGAUGUGAAAUCCACGGGCUCAACCCGUGAACUGCAUUUGAAACUGUUUCCCUGGAGUGUCGGAGAGGUAAUCGGAAUUCGUGGUGUAGCGGUGAAAUGCGUAGAGAUAAGGAAGAACACCAAUGGCGAAGGCGGAUUACUGGACGAUAACUGACGGUGAGGCGCGAAAGCGUGGGGAGCAAACAGGAUUAGAUACCCCAGUAGUC
rnacentral:rRNA from 1 species